CCUCCGUCCCAUAAUAUAAGAGAUUUUAGAUGGAUGUGAUACAUCUCAGUACAAUGAAUCUGUACUAUAAUAUAUCAUAUCCAUCCAAAAUCCCUUAUAUUAUGGGACGGAGG
rnacentral:pre_miRNA from 1 species